UGCACAUGGUGGCAUCACACUAAACCUAGCAGAACUUAACGUUCUUCGCAAGACUACCAGUGUACCUGGUUCAGUGCCCGUUGCAUUCUCAGAGCCCUAUUUUGAUGUUUGUGGAUCCUCGGCCUGGGACUAUAACGCACAAAGUCUACAAGAUGGAUUGUACCCAAGAAAGGGGAAUGGUGCAUGGUGAACUUGGUAGAUAAAGCUAGCAAAAAUGUUGAAACUACAACUGGCUUAUGAAACUGCGAUAUGGCGUCGUGCAUUACAACAAGGAGAUGAUUGUGUAGCACCGUAUUGAGCCAAUCUGAUGAAUCCUGACAAAGUCAGCAUGUAUGGGAUGUUUCUUGGAAAGUUUAAGAACAUUGAUGUAAUUAAAUUAUGUUUUAGCUGUGUACGUUGUGUCCAGUACUGUAAAAAGGUCCGAUGACAUGAAAUUAGGAAUGUGUUAGCGAUCAGUGAAUAGAGAGGAAUCGUAUCGGUUUCUGAUUUCUUCA